rnacentral:rRNA from 1 species
GCAGUCGAGCGGGAUUAGCUUUAUUCAAUUCUUCGGAAGAGAAAAUUGCUAUGAGAGCGGCGAACGGGUGAGUAAUAUAUGGGUAAUUUGCCUCUUUGUUCGGGAUAGCCAUCGGAAACGAUGAUUAAUACCGGAUGUGAUCGGUCACUGCAUAGUGACCUCUUUAAAGGUGGGGAAUCUUCGGAUCCUAUCGCAAAGAGAUAAGCCCAUACCCUAUCAGCUAGUUGGUGAGGUAAUGGCUCACCAAGGCUUACGGGUAGCUGGUCUGAGAGGAUGGUCAGCCACACUGGGACUGAGACACUGCCCAGACUCCUACGGGAGGCUGCAGUCGAGAAUCAUUGACAAUGUACGAAAGUAUGAUCAUGCGACGCCGCGUGGAGGAAGACGGCCUUCGGGUUGUAAACUCCUGUCAGCAGGGAGGAAAGGCAGCACUACUAAUAUCAGUGUUGUUUGACAGUACCUGCAGAGGAAGUCACGGCUAACUCUGUGCCAGCAGCCGCGGUAAUACAGAGGUGGCGAACGUUGUUCGGAUUUACUGGGCGUAAAGGGUCCGCAGGCGGUCCGGUGUGUCGGAUGUGAAAGCCCACGGCUUAACCGUGGAAUUGCAUUCGAAACUACCGGACUAGAGUACUGGAGGGGAGAAGGGAACACUUGGUGUAGCGGUGAAAUGCGUAGAUAUCAAGUGGAACACCGGAGGCGAAGGCGCUUCUCUGGACAGAUACUGACGCUCAUGGAC